CCGCCAUAUUGAAGUGGCUCUUCUGCACGAAUGUGAGGUUGGAUUGUGCGACAAUUAUUCCCAGUGAGGGCGGGACAAGGACAACGACACCGAAGCAAGAUGGCGGCGCAAGUAAAGCAAAUGUGGAACUCUCUGUCCAGUGCUAGUGGUUCACACAAGGAUAUUACGGGGAAGUAUCGCGAAAUUCUAGAAAAGGUUUUCAAAUUCCAAGAGCCUGCUCUUACGGAAGGCCUUAAAACGUUUAUCGAGGCUGGUAAGUUCGUAACACGUUUACCUUAGUUUGCAACUUUGCAUGACCACUGAGACGAGAAAA